AUUGAACGCUGGCGGCAUGCCUUACACAUGCAAGUCGAACGGUAACAGAUCUUCGGAUGCUGACGAGUGGCGAACGGGUGAGUAAUACAUCGGAACGUGCCUAGUAGUGGGGGAGAAAUACUCGAAAGAGUGGCUAAUACCGCAUGAGAGCUACGGAGGAAAGCAGGGGAUGGCAAGACCUUGUGCUACUAAAGCAGCCGAUGGCAGAUUCGGUAGUUGGAGGGAUAAAAGCUUACCAAGCCGACGAUCUGUAUCUGGUCUGAGAGGACGAUCAGCCACACUGGGACUGAGACACGGCCCAGACUCCUACGGGAGGCAGCAGUGGGGAAUUUUGGACAAUGGGCGCAAGCCUGAUCCAGCAAUGCCGCGUGCAGGAUGAAGGCCUUCGGGUUGUAAACUGCUUUUGUACGGAACGAAAAGCCCUGGGUUAAUACCCUGGGGUCAUGACGGUACCGUAAGAAUAAGCACCGGCUAACUACGUGCCAGCCGCCGCCGUAACAC
rnacentral:rRNA from 1 species